AUGUCCGACAAUCAUCACCAUUGUUGCCAUUUCGAGGAUUUCAGGUCUGCUAACGAAUGACUAUAAUUUUGAUCGCAAGUUCACAAUCUUGGCCUAGAGUGCUUCCGAAGUGGGUUCAUUGAUUCUAGGUAUCAAAUAUUGUUUUCAAAG